GGGCGCAUAGCGCAGUGGUAGCGCGUCCGCUUUGCAAGCGGAAGGCCUCGGGUUCGUGUCCAACUCUUUGCUCG
rnacentral:tRNA from 1 species